rnacentral:rRNA from 1 species
ACGCACGCUGGCGGCGUGCUUAACACAUGCAAGUCGCACGGAAAGGCCCUGCUUUUGUGGGGUGCUCGAGUGGCGAACGGGUGAGUAACACGUGAGUAACCUGCCCUUGACUUUGGGAUAACUUCAGGAAACUGGGGCUAAUACCGGAUAGGAGCUCCUGCUGCAUGGUGGGGGUUGGAAAGUUUCGGCGGUUGGGGAUGGACUCGCGGCUUAUCAGCUUGUUGGUGGGGUAGUGGCUUACCAAGGCUUUGACGGGUAGCCGGCCUGAGAGGGUGACCGGCCACAUUGGGACUGAGAUACGGCCCAGACUCCUACGGGGGGCAGCAGUGGGGAAUAUUGUACAAUGGGCGGAAGCCUGAUGCAGCAACGCCGCGUGCGGGAUGACGGCCUUCGGGUUGUAAACCGCUUUCGCCUGUGACGAAGCGUGAGUGACGGUAAUGGGUAAAGAAGCACCGGCUAACUACGUG